UCGCAUGGAAGAUUAUCCACAACCGGUUACUGGGUUAAUAACGGAUAAAUCCACCGAAAAGAAAGGUAUUGGGAUACCAAACUAGGUAUAAAAUGAUGACCAAUCAAAGGGAACAACAACAUUACCAACAAGAGGGUAAAUGAAAGGCGAUCUGCUGAGGAUUCACUGGUGAGAAUCAAUUAUCCGGGGGUGAAUUGCAUAAACAGCAAUUAUCC
rnacentral:lncRNA from 1 species